rnacentral:rRNA from 1 species
AUUGAACGCUGGCGGCAGGCCUAACACAUGCAAGUCGAGCGGGGUUUUCGGACCUAGCGGCGGACGGGUGAGUAAUGCGUAGGAAGCUGCCCGAUAGAAGGGGAUACCAGUUGGAAACGACUGUUAAUACCGCAUAAUGUCUACGGAUCAAAGUGUGGGACCUUCGGGCCACAUGCUAUCGGAUGCGCCUACGUGGGAUUAGCUAGUUGGUGAGGUAAUGGCUCACCAAGGCGACGAUCUCUAGCUGGUUUGAGAGGAUGAUCAGCCACACUGGAACUGACACACGGUCCAGACUCCUACGGGAGGCAGCAGUGGGGAAUAUUGGACAAUGGGCGCAAGCCUGAUCCAGCCAUGCCGCGUGUGUGAAGAAGGCCUUCGGGUUGUAAAGCACUUUCAGCGAGGAGGAAGGGUGGUGUGUUAAUAGCACAUCAUUUUGACGUUACUCGCAGAAGAAGCACCGGCUAACUCUGUGCCAGCCGCCGCAGUAA